GGGGCUGUAGUUAAAAUAACAUUUAAUUUGCAAUUAAAAAAUGUCACAAAAUGGACCUUCCUCA
rnacentral:tRNA from 1 species